rnacentral:rRNA from 1 species
UACGUAGGGGGCAAGCGUUGUCCGGAUUUAUUGGGCGUAAAGAGCGUGUAGGCGGCCAGACAGGUCCGUUGUGAAAACUCGAGGCUCAACCUCGAGACGUCGACGGAAACCGUCUGGCUAGAGUCCGGAAGAGGAGUGUGGAAUUCCAGGUGUAGCGGUGAAAUGCGUAGAUAUCUGGAGGAACACCGGUGGCGAAGGCGGCAUCCUGGACCAACACUGACGCUGAUGAGCGAAAGCCAGGGGAGCAAACGGG